rnacentral:rRNA from 1 species
AUGAGGGAUAUUGCACAAUGGGCGAAAGCCUGAUGCAGCGACGCCGCGUGGGUGACGAAGUCCUUCGGGAUGUAAAGCCCUUUUCUCGGGGAAGAGAACGGACGGUACCCGAGGAAUAAGCCCCGGCUAACUACGUGCCAGCAGCCGCGGUAAUACGUAGGGGGCAAGCGUUGUCCGGAAUUACUGGGCGUAAAGCGCGUGUAGGCGGGAAAGCAAGUCGGACGUGAAAGGCUUCGGCUCAACCGGAGACGGCCGUUCGAAACUGUUUUUCUUGAGCGUCGAAGAGGAGAGUGGAAUUCCCGGUGUAGCGGUGAAAUGCGUAGAGAUCGGGAGGAACACCCGUGGCGAAGGCGGCUCUCUGGUCGGCGACUGACGCUGAGACGCGAAAGCGUGGGGAGCGAACGG